AUACUUACCUGGUACAGAGAAUACCGUGAUCAUAUAGGCGGUUUCUCCAGGAAGAGGCUCUCCCAUUGCACUUCGGUUGGGGGCGAGCCUGCGAUUACCCCAAAUGUGGGUAACUCGGGUACGCAAUUAUUUUUCUGGUGUGGGGUCUGCGUUCGGCGCUAAACCCUCG